CAAGGCUCGGACUUAGUAGUACCGUAGUAAGAGGUCCACUGAGUCCACUGUCAUGGCGACGCUGAGCUGUAACACUCGUCUGUGCCUCAGAGCUGUGGCACUUGGCUAUAGCGCUGAGCUGUUCCGCUUUGCCACAACAACUGUAAGAACAUACAACUGGCUCCAGUUUGACUAUUUUAGAUUCCACAUAAUCCACAUCAACAAGCCAAGAGGGAGAAGAGAAGAGGUCAAGGGACAAAAGUGUCCACUCUCAGCGGAGUCAGCCCUCUUUCCAGUGGUUUUGCAGGAGCCCUUAUUAUUCGCCUCUUGUUGAGACUCCCUUGAACACUUCAUUCCCCUCUGAGAAAUUGCUAAAUGUCAGCCAAAAAUGAAUGCUGCAGGAUCUUGGAGAAUCUGACAAAUGAUGGACACUGAUAGCCCAUUCUGUGGCGAGUUACUCAGAGUGGAGGCUGAGAGGACUUAGUGAGAACUCUCAGUUGGUUGGAGAAGCUGGCUGUGGAUUCCAGCCUGAAGAUGCGGACAUGUCUCCUGCCAUGUGGUGCUGUCAGCCGCCUUCUCCAGUGUGACCAGUUGGUGGCCAAGAUGCUGAGCCCUGACAGGAUCUGGGACAGAGAGAACCUGAUUUGGGAGCUGUCCCUGGCAAGUGACCAAGAUAGCCUAAGGCCUGUGCUUGGAGUACUUGGUUGUCACUGACCUGCCUCUCUACAAGGGCCCUUCCCAGGCUUUUCCAUCCCCAAGGAUUCACCUCCCCUGAGUCUACUUAUGGAUCCUGGAUGAGAAACCCUUGGAAAGUCUGGUCCAAAUUGGCUUCCUGGAAUCCCUGGCCCAGCUUUCCUGUGUUCCUGCUCACAGGGGACUGUUCAGCGAGUAUACUCCCUCCUCAACUCCUUGUCUUCCUCUGCCCCACCC
rnacentral:lncRNA from 1 species